rnacentral:rRNA from 1 species
GGAGGAAAGUAGGGGAUCGCAAGACCUUGCGCUUUUGGAGCGGCCGAUGCCUGAUUAGCUUGUUGGUGAGGUAAAAGCUCACCAAGGCUCCGAUCAGUAGCUGGUCUGAGAGGACGACCAGCCACACUGGGACUGAGACACGGCCCAGACUCCUACGGGAGGCAGCAGUGGGGAAUUUUGGACAAUGGGGGCAACCCUGAUCCAGCCAUGCCGCGUGAGUGAAGAAGGCCUUCGGGUCGUAAAGCUCUUUCAGCCGGAACGAAACGGUCACGGUCAAUACCCGUGACUACUGACGGUACCGGAAGAAGAAGCACCGGCUAACUACGUGCCAGCAGCCGCGGUAAUACGUAGGGUGCGAGCGUUAAUCGGAAUUACUGGGCGUAAAGCGUGCGCAGGCGGUUUUGUAAGUCAGAUGUGAAAUCCCCGGGCUUAACCUGGGAACUGCGUUUGAAACUACAAAGCUAG